UGGUGCUUAUAUACAUCUCAAACUGUGCGACGGAACCGCGGGUUUAAAAGUUCACCGCUCACGAUCUGUGUACGGCGCAACGCUCGGACGUGACCGGAGUGCUCAUACUGUAGAAGAAGGAGAAGACGGAAGUGUCGAUGGCUACUGUAAACAUUACCGGAGAGAAACGCGCUGCUUUGGCAAUAUGUGCAAUUUUGUGUGCAGAAAGCCCUAAAAAGAAAAGGCGACGACGUAUUUGGAGAAAGACAUGGCUGAGGAAACAUGACUACUACGGUCUGCCAGUUUUACAGAAAGAACUUGAGAUGCGCUGCUGAGGUUUCUCAGUCAAACCCCUGCAAAUCCUCCUGCCGCCUUCACAUCAGCAGCACAACCCAGCACUGAAGAAGCAGCAUCAAUCGGUCCUCCUGUUGCUCCAGUAUACCCGGCUGACUGGCCACAUCCUUUAACUGAUAAGCUUGAUAGACACGUAGCUGUCGACUUGCUGAGGAAAACAAGAGAUUCCCUCACCAGUUACAGGGACACUGGAUUUUCUGAUGCACAGACAAUAGCCAAGGAGAUGUGUGAAGACAUGAAUGUGGAGGCUGAACUAGAAAUAAAACGAUUGAGAACCACAAAAACUCACUUUGGCUAUGAGUCUCCAGAUGAGCCCAUUCAAGAUGCACUACAAUAAAUGGAAACCACAUUUUUUAAUGUAGUCAUGUAUAAUGUACAGAAGUGUUAAACCCUAAGUACUGCUCUGACCCAGGACAGCCAGCAGGACAUUAAUGGCACAGAACUUACAAGGGAAAUGCAAAAUGUCCCACCAUUGCCAUCAACUAAUAUGACAAACAUGGAACUUUUAACCUUCUUGUAUGAGAAGAAGCUAACAGAAAUUUACCCCAACAUGUGAGUUGCUUUAAGAAUCUCUGCCACUCUUCCUGUUAUGGUGGCUGCUGCUGAAAGAAGCUUCUCCAAGCUUAAACUGAUUAAAACUUACCUGAGAUCCACUAUGAUGCAAGAACGUCUCAGUGGACUUUCCAUCAUAAGCAUUAAUCAUGUGGUCUCAAAUCAGUUGUCAUAUGAUGAUGUUGAAGAUGACUUUGCUUCAAGAAAGUCCAGGAGAGUAAAGCUGUAGUCAUCUGAGAGUAAGGAUGUGAGAAAAGUGGUGGCAUAUAGUUUUUGAAUUAAUUCAAGUCAAGGCAGACUAAAAUCACCACAAGAGCUAUUUGUAAGAUUAUAUUUACAUGUUAUUAUUUUUCUUUUAUUUAAAUCCUUGUAUUUUUUGUGCCUUCUCAUUUCUUUGAUUUCUUACUUUGCACAGUGCCAUAUUUAUGUUGUAUUUCGGUUAAUGUCACUUGUUUACACUUUUUUGGGAGUAUUUAUAUAUGUAAUACUUUAGCUAUUUAUAUUGUAUCGUUGAGUUCAUUUGUUUUAUUUCUUUAAUUAUUUUAAAGUUUUUUGAAUGUGAAUAUGGUUUUAUGUAAAUAAAAAAUGUCCAAGACAAAGCUUUUUAGUUUCUUGUGAGUAUAUGUACACUAGCAGACAUGCAAGUACUGUACAGUGAUGCAAGGGGGCGCCACCUAAAAUCUUGCCUAGGGCACCAAAUUGUU